GCCAGUGUGGCUCAAUGGGUAGAGCGUCAGCCUGCAGACUGAAGGGUCCCAGGUUCGCUUCUGGUCAAGGGCA
rnacentral:tRNA from 1 species